AUGCAAAGAAAUAGGGAAAACAACAGAAUGGGAAAGACUAGAGAUCUCUUCAAGAAAAUUAGAGAUACCAAGGGAAUAUUUCAUGCAAAGAUGGGCUUGAUAAAGGACAGAAAUGGUAUGGAACUAACAGAAGCAGAAGAUAUUAAGAAGAGGUGGCAAGAAUACACAGAAGAACUGUACAAAGAAGAUUUUCACAACCCUGAUAAUCACAUCACUCACCUAGAGCCAGACAUCCUUGAAUGUGAAGUCAAGUGGGCCUUAGGAAGCAUCACUACGAACAAAGCUAGUGGAGGUGAUGGAAUUCCAGUUGAGCUAUUUCAAAUCCUGAAAGAUGAUGCUGUGAAAGUGGUGCACUCAAUCUGCCAGCAAAUUUGGAAAACUCAGCAGUGGCCACAGGACUGGAAAAGGUCAGUUUUCAUUCCAAUCCCAAAGAAAGGCAAUGCCAAAGAAUGCUCAAACUACCGCACAAUUGCACUCAACUCACAUGUUAGUAAAGUAAUGCUCAAAAUUCUCCAAGCCAGGCUUCAGCAAUAUGUGAACUGUGAACUUCCAGAUGUUCAAGCUGGUUUUAGGAAAGGCAGAAGAACCAGAGAUCAGAUUGCCAACAUCCUCUGGAUCAUCGAAAAAGCAAGCAAUUUCCAGAAAAACAUCUAUUUCUGCUUUAUUGACUAUGCCAAAGCCUUUGACUGUGUGGAUCACAAGAAACUGUGGAAAAUUCUGAAAGAGAUGGGAAUACCAGACCACCUGACCUGCCUCUUGAGAAACUUGUAUGCAGGUCAGGAAGCAACAGUUAGAACUGGACAUGGAACAACAGACUGGUUCCAAAUAGGAAAAGGAGUAUGUCAAGGCUGUACAUUGUCACCCUGCUUAUUUAACUUCUAUGCAGAGUACAUCAUGAGAAACGCUGGAGUGGAAGAAGCACAAGCUGGAAUCAAGAUUGCCGGGAGAAACAUCAAUAACCUCAGAUAUGCAGAUGACACCACCCUUAUGGCAGAAAGUGAAGAGGAGCUAAAAAGCCUCUUGAUGAAAGUGAAAGAGGAGAGUGAAAAUGUUGGCUUAAAGCUCAACAGUCAGAAAACGAAGAUCAUGGCAUCUGGUCCCAUCACUUCAUGGGAAAUAGAUGGGGAAACAGUGGAAACAGUGGCUGACUUUAUUUUUGGGGGCUCCAAAAUCACGGCAGAUGGUGACUGCAGUCAUGAAAUUAAAAGAUGCUUACUUCUUGGAAGCAAAGUUAUGACCAACCUAGACAGUAUAUUAAAAAGCAGAGACAUUACUUUGUCAACAAAGGUCUGUCUAGUCCAAGCUAUGGUUUUUCCAGUAGCCAUGUAUGGAUGUUGA
rnacentral:lncRNA from 1 species